CUACAGAGGGUGCAAGCGUUAUUCGGAAUUACUGGGCGUAAAGCGCGCGUAGGCGGAUGAUUAAGUCAGUUGUGAAAGCCCUGGGCUCAACCUAGGAACUGCAUCUGAUACUGGUCGUCUAGAGUUUAAGAGAGGGAAGCGGAAUUCCAGGUGUAGCAGUGAAAUGCGUAGAUAUCUGGAGGAACAUCAGUGGCGAAGGCGACUUCCUGGCUUAAAACUGACGCUGAGGUGCGAAAGCGUGGGUAGCGAACGGGAUUAGAAACCCUAGUAGUCC
rnacentral:rRNA from 1 species